UCUGUACUCUCUCCGAUCCAUAUUACUUGUCACUCAAACGGAUGUAUCUGGACGUAUUUAAGUGUUAGAUACAUCUGUUUGUGCGACACCGACAAGUAAUAUGGAUCGGAGGGAGUACUUU
rnacentral:pre_miRNA from 1 species